rnacentral:rRNA from 1 species
UACGGAGGGGGCUAGCGUUGUUCGGAAUUACUGGGGGUAAAGCGCACGUAGGCGGCUUUGUAAGUUAGAGGUGAAAGCCCGGGGCUCAACUCCGGAAUUGCCUUUAAGACUGCAUCGCUCGAAUUGUGGAGAGGUAAGUGGAAUUCCGAGUGUAGAGGUGAAAUUCGUAGAUAUUCGGAAGAACACCAGUGGCGAAGGCGACUUACUGGACACAUAUUGACGCUGAGGUGCGAAAGCGUGGGGAGCAAACAGG